CCUACGGGAGGCUGCAGUAGGGAAUAUUGCACAAUGGGGGAAACCCUGAUGCAGCGACGCCGCGUGAGUGAAGAAGUAAUUCGUUAUGUAAAGCUCUAUCAGCAGGGAAGAAAAUGACGGUACCUGAGUAAUAAGCCCCGGCUAACUACGUGCCAGCAGCCGCGGUCAUACGUAGGGGGCAAGCGUUAUCCGGAUUGACUGGGUGUAAAGGGCGCGUAGGCGGCAGUGCAAGUCUGGAGUGAAAGGCGGUGGCUCAACCCCAGGACUGCUCUUGAAACUGUAAGGCUGGAGUGCAGGAGAGGUAAGUGGAAUUCUUGGUGUAGCGGUGAAAUGCGUAGAUAUUAGGAGGAACACUAGUGGCGAAGGCGGCUUACUGGACUGUAACUGACGUUGAGGCUCGAAAGCGUGGGGAGCAAACAGGAUUAGAUACCCGGGUAGUC
rnacentral:rRNA from 1 species